GCAACAGCUCAAAUUUGAAAUCUGGCGCAAGCCCGAGUUGUAAUUUGUAGAGGAUGCUUCUGGGCAGCGGCCGGUCUAAGUUCCUUGGAACAGGACGUCAUAGAGGGUGAGAAUCCCGUAUGCGACCGGCUGGCACCCUCCACGUAGCUCCUUCGACGAGUCGAGUUGUUUGGGAAUGCAGCUCUAAAUGGGAGGUAAAUUUCUUCUAAAGCUAAAUACCGGCCAGAGACCGAUAGCGCACAAGUAGAGUGAUCGAAAGAUGAAAAGCACUUUGGAAAGAGAGUUAAAAAGCACGUGAAAUUGUUGAAAGGGAAGCGCUUGCAACCAGACUUGUUAGCGGUGUUCCGCCGGUCUUCUGACCGGUCCACUCACCGUUCGCAGGCCAGCAUCGUCUGGGCCCGCCGGAUAAAGACGCGAGGAAUGUGGCUCCCUUCGGGGAGUGUUAUAGCCACGCGUGCAAUACGGCGUGACCCGGGCGAGGUCCGCGCUUCGGCUAGGAUGCUGGCGUAAUGGUCGUAAGCGGCCCGUCUUGAAACACGGACCAAGGAGUCUACUAUCUAUGCGAGUGUUCGGGUGUCAAACCCUUGCGCGUAAUGAAAGUGAACGGAGGCGAGAACUACGGUGCAUCGUCGACCGAUCCUGAUGUCUUCGGAUGGAUUUGAGUAAGAGCAUAGCUAGUGGGACCCGAAAGAUGGUGAACUAUGCCUGAAUAGGGUGAAGCCAGAGGAAACUCUGGUGGAGGCUCGCAGCGGUUCUGACGUGCAAAUCGAUCGUCAAAUUUGGGUAUAGGGGCGAAAGACUAAUCGAACCAUUAAUCAAAACCUACUAGGUGGUUGAGAGAAUUGAUCGCGACCCAUCAAUUCUAGUCCCUCGGGGCUACAUUGCCAAAUUGCGGGAACGCCUCGCGAUCGCCUGCUUACCGCUCCAGUCGAUGGGAAUCGAUUGAGGGCGCCCGGUCGAGAGGCCGGAGCACGGUAACAAGAGUCGGCGAGAGGUGACCACGCAGCCGAUCUUUUGAUUAAAGAUCGUGUUCACAGACUAGACGGCAACGGGCGCUCCGGCGCUUAAGAUAUAGUCGCCGCGGCCUGACGAUAGGCCGCGUGAAUUGAUUGAGGAACUCAGAGCUAGUAGCUGGUUCCUGCCGAAGUUUCCCUCAGGAUAGCAGUAACGUUUUCAGUUUUAUGAGGUAAAGCGAAUGAUUAGAGGCCUUGGGGUUGAAACAACCUUAACCUAUUCUCAAACUUUAAAUAUGUAAGAAGUCCUUGUCACUUAGUUGGACGGGGACAUUCGAAUGUACCGUUACUAGUGGGCCAUUUUUGGUAAGCAGAACUGGCGAUGCGGGAUGAACCGAACGCGGAGUUAAGGUGCCGGAAUGCACGCUCAUCAGACACCACAAAAGGUGUUAAUUCAUCUAGACAGCAGGACGGUGGCCAUGGAAGUCGGAAUCCGCUAAGGAGUGUGUAACAACUCACCUGCCGAAUGAAUUAGCCCUGAAAAUGGAUGGCGCUCAAGCGUGCUACCCAUACUCCGCCGCCAGCGUAGAAGCGACGCGCUGGCGAGUAGGCAGG
rnacentral:rRNA from 1 species